AAUCACUGCGCAAUAGGCCCAACGAAAUUGGCUACAUAUUAUGUUUAGAUCAUAUGUUUUUCGCUUUGAAAAAACUCACUUCGAGCCGGCUUAAAACAUGAAGGAUAAUCCAUUUAUCGAAAACCCUAUAUACAGGCACUACAAAUAACCUUCACUGGCAGUAAAAACAAUUCGAUUUUAGAUAUGAGUCUAUCAGCAAUGGAUGAUGUAGGCGUAAAAUGUACUUCGUGAAAAUAAUAAUUGAAGUUUAAUUCAAACAAUUUAUGAGAGAUUAUUGUAAUCAUAUAACUGAUGCGUAAGUGUUGUCUUACCUGUCC